CCGCCAUGGUGUGUGUGUGUGUGUGUGUGUGUGUGUGUGUGUGUGUGUGUGUGUGUGUGUGUGUGUGUGUGUGUGUGUGUGUGUGUGUGUGUGUGUGUGUGUGUGUGUAGUGCAGAUGGGUGGGUGAAGUGCAUGUGCAUAUUAACCAAGCUGUGCAUGUAGGAGUUGUUUGUUACCCCCUGAAAAAUGCUAU